rnacentral:rRNA from 1 species
GAAGAAAAAGCAUCGGCUAACUCCGUGCCAGCAGCCGCGGUAAUACGGAGGAUGCAAGCGUUAUCCGGAUUUAUUGGGUUUAAAGGGUGCGUAGGCGGCACGCCAAGUCAGCGGUGAAAUUUCCGGGCUCAACCCGGAUUGUGCCGUUGAAACUGGCGAGCUAGAGUGCACAAGAGGCAGGCGGAAUGCGUGGUGUAGCGGUGAAAUGCAUAGAUAUCACGCAGAACCCCGAUUGCGAAGGCAGCCUGCUAGGGUGCGACAGACGCUGAGGCACGAAAGCGUGGGUAUCGAACAGGAUUAGAUACCCUGGUAGUCCACGCAGUAAACGAUGAAUACUAACUGUUUGCGAUACAAUGUAAGCGGUACAGCGAAAGCGUUAAGUAUUCCACCUGGGGAGUACGCCGGCAACGGUGAAACUCAAAGGAAUUGACGGGGGCCCGCACAAGCGGAGGAACAUGUGGUUUAAUUCGAUGAUACGCGAGGAACCUUACCCGGGCUUAAAUUGCAGAUGAAUUACGGUGAAAGCCGUAAGCCGCAAGGCAUCUGUGAAGGUGCUGCAUGGUUGUCGUCAGCUCGUGCCGUGAGGUGUCGGCUUAAGUGCCAUAACGAGCGCAACCCCUAUGGACAGUUACUAACGGGUGAAGCCGAGGACUCUGUCUAGACUGCCGGCGCAAGCCGCGAGGAAGGUGGGGAUGACGUCAAAUCAGCACGGCCCUUACGUCCGGGGCGACACACGUGUUACAAUGGCAGGUACAGAAGGCAGCCAGUCAGCAAUGACGCGCGAAUCCCGAAAACCUGUCUCAGUUCGGAUUGGAGUCUGCAACCCGACUCCAUGAAGCUGGAUUCGCUAGUAAUCGCGCAUCAGCCAUGGCGCGGUGAAUACGUUCCCGGGCCUUGUACACACCGCCCGUCAAGCCAUGGAAGCCGGGAGUACCUGAAGCAUGCAACCGCAAGGAGCGUACGAAGGUAAUACCGGUAACUGGGGCUAAGUCGUAACAAGGUAGCCGUACCGGAAGGUGCGGCUG